UACGUAGGGUGCAAGCGUUAAUCGGAAUUACUGGGCGUAAAGCGUGCGCAGGCGGUUGUGCAAGACAGAUGUGAAAUCCCCGGGCUCAACCUGGGAAUUGCAUUUGUGACUGCACGGCUAGAGUGUGUCAGAGGGGGGUAGAAUUCCACGUGUAGCAGUGAAAUGCGUAGAUAUCUGGAGGAACACCGGUGGCGAAGGCGGCAUCCUGGACCGACAUUGACGCUGAGGCGCGAAAGCCAGGGGAGCAAACGGG
rnacentral:rRNA from 1 species